rnacentral:misc_RNA from 1 species
GGAGUAAAAGUCGUAACAAGGUUUCCGUAGGUGAACCUGCGGAAGGAUCAUUAUUGUAUAACCGAGGUGCGAGGGCUGUCGCUGACCCGAAAGGUCGUGCACGCCCGAGUGCCCUCACACACAUCCAUCUCACCCCUAUGUGCACCACCGCGUGGGUCCCCCCUUGGCUUGUUCGGAGGGGGGCUUACGUUUUCACACGAACUUUGUAUGCAGUGUAGAAUGUAUUUUUUGUUUUUGCGAUCACGCAAUCAAUACAACUUUCAACAACGGAUCUCUUGGCUCUC